GAUGAACGCUAGCUACAGGCUUAACACAUGCAAGUCGAGGGGUAACGAGAGGAAAGCUUGCUUUCCUUGUCGACGACCGGCGCACGGGUGAGUAACGCGUAUCCAACCUGCCCCCAACUAGGGAAUAACCUUGCGAAAGUAAGACUAAUACCCUAUAAUUUCCUCAGAUGACAUCUGACGAGGAAUAAAGAUUUAUCGGUUGUGGAUGGGGAUGCGUCUGAUUAGCUUGUUGGCGGGGUAACGGCCCACCAAGGCAACGAUCAGUAGGGGUUCUGAGAGGAAGGUCCCCCACAUUGGAACUGAGACAAGGUCCAAACUCCUACGGGAGGCAGCAGUGAGGAAUAUUGGUCAAUGGGCGGAAGCCUGAACCAGCCAAGUAGCGUGCAGGAUGACGGCCCUAUGGGUUGUAAACUGCUUUUAUACAGGAAUAAAGUUAGCCACGUGUGGUUAUUUGUAGGUACUGUAUGAAUAAGGACCGGCUAAUUCCGUGCCAGCCGCCGCUGUAA
rnacentral:rRNA from 1 species